AUGAAGGCCCUAUUUUGGAAGAUAAGAGGUUUCGGCGCUAGGGGGUGCAGGGACCAGCUUAAAGACUUGGUUCGUUCUGAAAAUGUUGAUUUUAUUGGCCUUGUCGAGACUCUCAAGCCCUCCUUCUCCCCUAGUGAACUCUCGGCCGUUGCUGGGAUAGAUAGAUUCAAUUGGAAUUUUGUGGCCCCUAAUGGUCACUCGGGUGGUCUUCUUCUUGGCACCAAAAAAGAUGUUUUUGAUUUUGCCGCUUUUGAUCAUGGCAUUUUUUGGGCUAGCACGGUGGUCUCUCAUCGAUCCCUUAAUUCUUUACUUGAAAUCAUGGUGGUUUAUGGUCCGGCUGAUCAUUCUAUGUCUUAUAUCUUUCUGGAUGAACUUAGUAAUAAAAUUGAUUCCUGUCAGCUGCCACUCUUGAUUGGGGGCGAUUUCAACUUGAUG
rnacentral:rRNA from 1 species